UACGGAGGAGGCAAGCGUUAUCCGGAAUUAUUGGGCGUAAAGCGUCCGCAGGUGGCACUUCAAGUCUGUCGUCAAAGACUGGGGCUUAACCCUGGAAAGGCGGUGGAAACUGAAGCGCUAGAGUGCGGUAGGGGUAGAGGGAAUUCCCGGUGUAGCGGUGAAAUGCGUAGAGAUCGGGAAGAACAUCGGUGGCGAAAGCGCUCUACUGGACCUUAACUGACACUGAGGGACGAAAGCUAGGGGAGCGAAUGGG
rnacentral:rRNA from 1 species